rnacentral:rRNA from 1 species
GACGAACGCUGGCGGCGUGCCUAAUACAUGCAAGUAGAACGCUGAAGGAGGAGCUUGCUUCUCUGGAUGAGUUGCGAACGGGUGAGUAACGCGUAGGUAACCUGCCUGGUAGCGGGGGAUAACUAUUGGAAACGAUAGCUAAUACCGCAUAAUAGUAGAUGUUGCAUGACAUUUGCUUAAAAGGUGCAAUUGCAUCACUACCAGAUGGACCUGCGUUGUAUUAGCUAGUUGGUGAGGUAACGGCUCACCAAGGCAACGAUACAUAGCCGACCUGAGAGGGUGAUCGGCCACACUGGGACUGAGACACGGCCCAGACUCCUACGGGAGGCAGCAGUAGGGAAUCUUCGGCAAUGGGGGGAACCCUGACCGAGCAACGCCGCGUGAGUGAAGAAGGUUUUCGGAUCGUAAAGCUCUGUUGUAAGAGAAGAACGAGUGUGAGAGUGGAAAGUUCACACUG